rnacentral:rRNA from 1 species
CUCGUAGGCGGCCAACUAAGUCGGACGUGAAAUCCCCAGGCUCAACCUGGGAACUGCGUCCGAUACUGGAUGGCUUGAAUUCGGGAGAGGGAUGCAGAAUUCCAGGUGUAGCGGUGAAAUGCGUAGAUAUCUGGAGGAAUACCGGUGGCGAAGGCGGCAUCCUGGACCGACAUUGACGCUGAGGAGCGAAAGCUAGGGGAGCAAACG